rnacentral:rRNA from 1 species
UACGUAGGUGGCAAGCGUUGUCCGGAUUUAUUGGGCUUAAAGGGUGCGUAGGCGGCCUAUUAAGUCAGUGCUGAAAUAUCCCGGCUUAACCGGGAGGGUGGCAUUGAUACUGAUGGGCUUGAGUAAAGUUGAGGUAGGCGGAAUUGACGGUGUAGCGGUGAAAUGCUUAGAUAUCGUCAAGAACACCUAUUGCGAAGGCAGCUUACUAAGCUUUAACUGACGCUGAUGCACGAAAGUGUGGGGAGCAAACAGG